GCGCGAACGCUGGCGGCAUGGCUAAAGCAUGCAAGUCGAACGGUUAAGGCCCCUUCGGGGGUGCAUAAAGUGGCGAAAGGGCGAGGAAUACGUUCCUGACGUACCCCGAGGUCGGGGAUAGCCCGGGGAAACCCGGAGUAAUACCCGAUGUGGUUCGCCGCAGGCGAAUCAAAGGUUUCGGCCGCCUUGGGAGCGGGGAACGUCCUAUCAGGUUGUUGGUGAGGUAACGGCUCACCAAGCCGAAGACGGGUAGCGGGUGUGAGAGCACGGCCCGCCGCAUCGGGACUGAGACACUGCCCGGACUCCUACGGGAGGCUGCAGCAACGAAUCUUCCGCAAUGCGCGAAAGCGUGACGGAGCAAUGCCGCGUGCAGGAUGAAGCCCUUCGGGGUGUAAACUGCUGUCAGGGUUUAGCAACACAAUGAGCAGACCCAAAGGAAGGGCCGGCUAACUUCGUGCCAGCAGCCGCGGUAAUACGAAGGGCCCGAGCGUUGCGCGGAAUUAUUGGGCUUAAAGCGUACGUAGGCGGACGAGCAGGCACCUUGUGAAAUCCCUCGGCUCAACCGAGGAAUUGCAUGGUGAACCGCUCGUCUUGAGGCAAGUAGGGGCUGUCGGAACGAUAGGUGGAGCGGUGAAAUGCGUUGAUAUCUAUCGGAACGCCAAAGGUGAAGACAGGCAGCUGGGCUUGUUCUGACGCUGAGGUACGAAAGCGUGGGGAGCGAACGGGAUUAGAUACCCCGGUAGUCCACGCCGUAAACGAUGUGCGCUAGAUCGAGGGGGUUCUCACGCCAUUCUCGGUCGAAGCAAAAGUGUUAAGUGCACCGCCUGGGGAGUACGGUCGCAAGGCUAAAACUCAAAGGAAUUGACGGGGGCUCACACAAGCGGUGGAGCAUGUGGCUUAAUUCGAAACAACGCGAAGAACCUUAUCCUGGGUUUGACAUGCACGGAUUAACCCGUUGAAAGGCGGGCCACACCUUCGGGUGGAACGUGCACAGGUGCUGCAUGGCUGUCGUCAGCUCGUGCUGUGAAGUGUCGGGUUAAGUCCCUUAACGAGCGCAACCCCUAUCGCUAGUUGCCAGCGGGUCAAGCCGGGGACUCUAACGAGACUGCCGGUGUUAAACCGGAGGAAGGUGGGGAUGACGUCAAGUCCGCAUGGCCUUUAUGCCCAGGGCUGCACACGUGCUACAAUGGCCGGUACAGAACGACGCAAUACCGCGAGGUGGAGCAAAUCGCUAAAGCCGGCCCCAGUUCGGAUUGGAGGCUGCAACUCGCCUCCAUGAAGUCGGAAUCGCUAGUAAUCGCGGAUCAGCUACGCCGCGGUGAAUACGUUCCUGAGCCUUGUACACACC
rnacentral:rRNA from 1 species